rnacentral:rRNA from 1 species
GUCCCAUGCUUAUUGAUUUUUAGUACGAAAGGACCAUUAUUUUGGAAUAAUUCUUUUUGGUUGAAUAAGAUU